rnacentral:lncRNA from 10 species
UCUCCUUUGCUAUGUCCCAGCACUGUGCACCCAAAGAUGUCAUUGCCUACUAUGACAGCCAUGCCCCCACCCGAGGGCCUCCCUGGCAGCACACACUCAGGCUUGGUUUCUGUUUGUGCCCUUAAAGUCAGGCCCACAGGAGGCAUCGUCCUUGGCCACUGAUCCCCUGUUGUGUGCCAGGCCCUGUGCUGGGCAUGGCCCCUGUCCUCACAAAGCACUCCUUUUUCUGGGAAGACACUUUUGAGCACACAGGGAUGCAAUGACCAUGAUGAAGGAGUCUCAUGGGGGACCUGAGGCAUGGGGCUGGAAGCUCUUUGAGGGCAGGUCCAUCGUGUGUUUUCUCACCUCGCAUCAUCAUCAGGGUGUG